rnacentral:rRNA from 1 species
GAUGAACGCUGGCGGCGUGCCUAAUACAUGCAAGUCGAGCGAACAGAUGAGGAGCUUGCUCCUCUGACGUUAGCGGCGGACGGGUGAGUAACACGUGGAUAACCUACCUAUAAGACUGGGAUAACUUCGGGAAACCGGAGCUAAUACCGGACAAUAUAUUGAACCGCAUGGUUCAAUAGUGAAAGACGGUUUUGCUGUCACUUAUAGAUGGAUCCGCGCCGCAUUAGCUAGUUGGUAAGGUAACGGCUUACCAAGGCAACGAUGCGUAGCCGACCUGAGAGGGUGAUCGGCCACACUGGAACUGAGACACGGUCCAGACUCCUACGGGAGGCAGCAGUAGGGAAUCUUCCGCAAUGGGCGAAAGCCUGACGGAGCAACGCCGCGUGAGUGAUGAAGGUCUUCGGACCGUAAAACUCUGUUAUUAGGGAAGAACAAAUGUGUAAGUAACUAUGCACGUCUUGACGGUACCUAAUCAGAAAGCCACGGCUAACUACGUG